rnacentral:rRNA from 1 species
UUGAGCUUGAUCCUGGCUCAGGACGAACGCUGGCGGCGUGCCUAAUACAUGCAAGUCGAGCGGAUUUAUCCUUCGGGAUAAGUUAGCGGCGGACGGGUGAGUAACACGUAGGUAACCUGCCUAUAAGAUCGGGAUAACUAUCGGAAACGAUAGCUAAGACCGGAUAAUUGGUUUUCUCGCAUGAGAGAAUUAUGAAACACGGAGCAAUCUGUGGCUUAUAGAUGGGCCUGCGGCGCAUUAGCUAGUUGGUAGGGUAACGGCUCACCAAGGCGACGAUGCGUAGCCGACCUGAGAGGGUGAACGGCCACACUGGGACUGAGACACGGCCCAGACUCCUACGGGAGGCAGCAGUAGGGAAUCUUCCGCAAUGGACGCAAGUCUGACGGAGCAACGCCGCGUGAGUGAUGAAGGUUUUCGGAUCGUAAAGCUCUGUUGCCCUAGACGAACAGCAAGAGGAGUAACUGCCUUUUGUGUGACGGUAUAGGAGAAGAAAG